UCCCUGGUGGCUCAGACAGUAAAGAAUCUGCUUGAAAUGCAGGAGACCUGGGUUCAACCCCUGGUUUGGGAA
rnacentral:tRNA from 1 species